CCUACGGGGGGCAGCAGUGGGGAAUUUUGGACAAUGGGCGCAAGCCUGAUCCAGCCAUGCCGCGUGAGUGAAGAAGGCCUUCGGGUUGUAAAGCUCUUUCAGCCGGAAAGAAAACGCACGGGAUAAUACCCUGUGUGGAUGACGGUACCGGAAGAAGAAGCACCGGCUAACUACGUGCCAGCAGCCGCGGUAAUACGUAGGGUGCGAGCGUUAAUCGGAAUUACUGGGCGUAAAGCGUGCGCAGGCGGUUUUGUAAGACAGAUGUGAAAUCCCCGGGCUUAACCUGGGAACUGCAUUUGUAACUGCAAGGCUAGAGUACGGCAGAGGGGGGUAGAAUUCCACGUGUAGCAGUGAAAUGCGUAGAUAUGUGGAGGAAUACCGAUGGCGAAGGCAGCCCCCUGGGUCGAUACUGACGCUCAUGCACGAAAGCGUGGGGAGCAAACAGGAUUAGAUACCCUAGUAGUC
rnacentral:rRNA from 1 species